AUGGUGGAGGACGUGAACGCUAUCAAGUCAUACAAUUCGAACGAUUUCACGUUGGGGGUGUGCAUGGAUGCUAUUAAAAAACCGGUCGAAGAUCUUGAAAAAUUCAAGUGGCCUAUCGGGAACUUGGCUCUUAUUCAGUAUAUAUACUGGGAAAAAGUUGAGCCAAUUGGUGUGGAUACAUUUGAUCCUUUGUCUUGUGAAUACCCACUAAUGCUUAACUGGCCAGAAACGGAAGGGAAAAAGCGAGACAACUAUGACAACAUGCACGGGCGUGGCACCGGCAAUAUUGAAAACUGCGUUAGUGAAGAGUACAGACGUGCUAAGGUAGCAAGUGAAGGGACUGUCCCAGAGGAAGAAACAAAGAAACCUAAACGGAAAGGUGGUGGCAGGAGUAGAAAGCCAAGCACGUCCGCGGUUUCGUCGAACAUGACUUAUAGUAUGGACCGUGUGAUGACAUACAUAAAGCUGCUUCACAAGGAGAUGGUAAUAGAAAGGUUGAACACGGAAGGUGUGCUGUACAAACCCAAUAAGAGGGACAACAAUGACGAAUUUGAUAAUGUACGUGAAGGAGUUGAGAUGGAGAAUGGCCAGUACAAGUCAUCAAAAUAUUGGCCAGAUAUUGAUUCACCUACCGAUGUAAAGAUAGGAACAUCUUUCACGGGUAUCAAUGCUACAUCCGUGCCCGUUGAUGACACGGGUGCUCCGGCGACGACACCGGGUAAAGGUGAAGCUACUGAUCCUUUCAUUAUAGAUGAUAAUGGAAACUCUCCAUCUUCGGCAUCAACUGUACGUACAAAAGACUUUCCGUCUAUGUCCCGAACCCCGCAAAAUGCUGAUAUUUCUGGUGAGUCUAUGGAUGCUUUGUCACCAACAAAGUCCGAAGACACGUUCGAGAGUUACCCGACAGAGAGCAACAUAGGUAAUGAUGAAGGCAGUCAGGAAAAUGAUGGUAAGCGCAAAAGAAAAAAAGUCGAAAUAUUGCCAAUCCCCCUACGACAUUCUCAUUACCCGCAAGAAACGUGUUAA
rnacentral:rRNA from 1 species